UACAGAGGGGGCAAGCGUUGUUCGGAAUUACUGGGCGUAAAGGGCUCGUAGGCUGCCAACUAAGUCGGACGUGAAAUCCCUCGGCUUAACCGGGGAACUGCGUCUGAUACUGGAUGGCUUGAGUUUGGGAGAGGGAUGCGGAAUUCCAGGUGUAGCGGUGAAAUGCGUAGAUAUCUGGAGGAACACCGGUGGCGAAGGCGGCAUCCUGGACCAACACUGGACGCUGAUGAGCGAAAGCCAGGGGAGCAAACGGG
rnacentral:rRNA from 1 species